AAUGAAGCAUCGGAAUGGUGCGCUCACGUCGCCUUCUCCUGAAAUACCUCCGAGUCUGCAAGUGAGAAAACGCACUGAUCCUGUUGCAAACUGUGAAUAUUCUGAUGAUGCCAGUACAGUUUGAUUUAUUAAAUGUAGGUCCUCAAGCUUCUCAGUGUCAUCUCUUUUCUGCCAGAGAGUGCUACUGUGAACAGGGCCAGGCCCAGGAAUCGUGUCCACCAUAUGGCUGGUUUUCAGCAUCCGUCUUUCUGUCAGCUUUUGUUUUAUCAGAGAUAAGAUGUUUUUGUAUUAGCAUUUAAUGUUGUCAAUCAAAAUUAUGGGAAGAGCUAGAAACUGAUGGGGUUUUUAAUCAGGUCCCCAUCUUGGUCAAGGUUAGGCAGCUGGAGAGGAAGGUAUAAUUGAGCAAAACGUGUCCAGAGGACCCAUGGCUGCACCCCAUCAAGUCAGGGCCCAGGAGGACUGCCUGGCAUGGGUGUGCUUGGCAUUGUGCCCACAGCACUGCUGUCGUGGUACAGACUGGCAGUUGGAAGGGGCCUUAAGCCGGCUGAGAAGUUUGGGCUUCUGGGUUGAAAUCCACAGCCCCGGUUGAGGCCUGUGUGCUGAGUGCCAGAGCUGGAGUUUUCUAGCUUGUAAAUCUGGAGAAUUAACUGAUCUGAAGUGACUGGGAGGGGUGAGCAUAAAAGCCGGGGAACAGGACUCCCAGUGGUGGUCUGGUUUUUUUUGUGAGAUGAGAUGAGAGCUACCACCUGGAAAUGCUCAUUCUCUGCAUUCAGCCUGUCUCACAUACAGGAUUGUAUGGCCAUUUCAGGUUUGGGAAAGAUCUACCUGCUGGGAGCCAGUCUAGUUUCCUGCACCACCUGGAACUUCCAAACCCUUCACUCCUUCAACAGAAUGUUGAGGCUGCCUCAUUUGUGCCACCAAGUACGGGAAUCUUAAAGACAGAAACAGAGCUCAUGACCUUUUAUGGGAAAGAGAGAGGAAAACAAAACAACUUCACAACAGCAUGGCAAGGGGGGAUGUGGAACCAAGGACAUGAUACAGGGAUGGGAAAGGAGGGCAUGCUCAAUUCUAGCUGGUUCUUUCCUUUCAGAUAAAAAUGAGCUUUUCUAGUUGGCAUCCGGCACUGCAGAAAACUAAAAGUCAUCCAGCCAUAGCUUUUUCCUUCCCUGGAAAGCCUGAGACUAGAUCCCAAAGCUCAGAAUGCCUCUGAGAACCAGAAUCACUCCUUUGAGAGGCGCUCCUUGCAGGAAAAAGAGAGGCUCCCAGAGUGGUAGCCUCUCAGUGAAAAUGCAUCCUAAAAAUUCAAUGUUUAUACCAGGCUCAUGACACUAAGAUGUGACAUCUGGACACGAGGGGUCAGCCACGUGGAUACAUCCCUCCCAGAUUGCAUCUCCAGGAAUCACUCUGCUAGCAGAAUGGGCGCCCCAUCCCUUACUAUGCUGCUCCUCCUCAAAGUGCAGCCCAGAAGGACCCAGGCCUUUGAUGCACAUUGGGUGGGUCUCCCACUACUUUAGUUGAAAUGGGAGCAUGCUGGAGUCGGCGUUCUGUUGCUUCUGGUGAGAAGGACAUCCCAUUGACCCCUGGCCACCAGGUCCAGUAUUCCAUCCUUCCUUCUGUCCCAGCCUAUCGCCCUCCCCACCAGGCCCACCCCCACAACUUCUCCUCAAGGGAGGUUGCUCCCGCAGCUGGAGGGCUUGCACAGACCAGCAGUCACAGAAAUCAUUCUUCCUGCUGUACUGGGCCUUAACUGCCUGCAAAUGUCCAGCACUACUGCAUAGGAUGCCAGAGCCACCGAAGGAAAACACAGCCAAGUUUAAUAAUAAUAAAAGGAAAAAUCUCAGCCUGCAGAACUCUGGUUUUGACCCACCAUCGGCCAGAUGCACAUCUUCAGGGCCUGUUGAGCACCUUCUGAAAAGCAGGGCUCGUAAUAGACUCCAGCACAUUCCAUCAGAGUCAGGAAAACUGCAGUGAGUCCCAGAGAAUCUAGGGUGCAGGGCAGGGAGCAGGAGUCAUAAGGAGUGAUAACCUAAACUGUGUGUAGUCAGCGGGGAGGGUCUUAUGUUAUCAGGUGAAAUGAGAGCCAGUAAGUUAGUUGAUCCUGUCACAGAUAUAACCCUGAUAACACCCCAUAGAUACGCGACACGUGUGUCCUGCCCCUGCUUUCCCCAUCCAACAUGGUUCUUCUGUUCCACAGACAUUAAAGGGGCUUUCUGCAAUU
rnacentral:lncRNA from 1 species